rnacentral:misc_RNA from 1 species
GAUGAAGAACGUAGCGAAAUGCGAUAAGUAAUGUGAAUUGCAGAAUUCAGUGAAUCAUCGAAUCUUUGAACGCACCUUGCGCCCUUUGGCUAUUCCGAAGGGCAUGCCUGUUUGAGUAUCAUGAACACCUCAACUCUCAUGGUUUGCCAUGAUGAGCUUGGACUUUGGGGGUCUUGCCGGCCUAUGGGUCGGCUCCUCUCAAAUUAAUCAGCUUGCCAGUGUUUGGUGGCAUCACAGGUGUGAUAACUAUCUACGCUUGUGGUUUUCCAUCAGGUAACCUUCAGUGAUGGAGGUUCGCUGGGGCUCAUAAAUGUCUCUCCUCAGUGAGGACAGCUUUUUUGAACGUUUGAUCUCAAAUCAGGUAGGACUACCCGCUGAACUUAAGCAUAUCAAUAGCGGAGGA